rnacentral:tRNA from 1 species
UGUUCUGUGGCUUAGUUGGUUAAAGCACCGGUUUAGCGAUAUGGCAUCGUGGGUUCGAAUCCCACCAGAACGU